AAUUAAGCUGCCAGACUUGAGAACCCUUAUAAGGUUUUAUAAGGUUUUUAUAAGGUUUUAUAAGGUUUAUUUUUAAGGCCCAUUUAGAGACCAAGGAGCCUGUUCCUUGCCUUCUCUAUAAAUAUGUGUCUGAAAACCCUAAUAGAACUAUCCAAUCUUUUAUUUUCAGACUCUUGUCUCUCUCUGACGGCUGCAAGUCUUCUUGUAGAUCUGAGUGUUCUUGAGUCUUUGUUAGUGUGUCAUAUCUAACAAAACCACAAGAGUGAUUGUCUUGGUGUGUCAUAUCCAAGGGAUUCACUUAGGAGUAUCAAGGAGACCUCUCACAUCUCUUUGUGUCACCAUUCAUUCCACAAACCUUGAAGCAGAUUGAGUCUUUGAUUCUCUGUUUGCAAGGAUCUAUCCCAUUCCAACCAGAGAAGCAUCCUAGGAGUGUAUUAUUUGUCAUUAACACAGCCGUUUGAUCACUUUACUACCUUUUAUUUUGGACAGCCCAGAUUAUUUGUCAUUUAAGCUUAUUUCUUAUUUUCUUAGUCAUUUUUUUAUCGUUAUCUUCCUCCUCCCAAAUUCCCUUUUUUUGUAAAUUGGAUUUGAUUCUUCAGAAACAAAUUUCAGAGAAAUUUUCUUCAAUUAUUGUCUUUGUUAUCUGGUUUUCCUUUUCUUCUGAUUAUGAACGACCAACAACAACACUUUCAUUGGGAUAAUGUUUAUCAAGCACCAACAAAUAAACGAUCCUGUUUUACUAAGAGAAGAAAAUCAUAUUUGGCAAUUUCAAUGUAUUUCUAUAACAAAUUAGAUACAAUCAUCAACGAUGAUGAGAUUUUUCAGUGGCUCUGACACAACAACGAUAUUCGACUCUACCUACCUCCGGUGAGAGUGACGACUCCGGUGGUGAUGCUUCAUAGCGGCUGUAGCGAAGCUUCUUAUGGACGUGGCACGAGAGCAACUGGUUUUGUGGUGAAUAACAAACGCGAUCACUCGGGACUGUUCUUGUCUCCUUACUUUAGCAGCUAGGUUAGAACGAAGAUGAAGAUGUUUACGAUUGAUCUCCACCAAAUCCAAUUUCUUUUAUUUUCACUUUAAGUCAUUGAUGUUUAGUUAUGUUUUUAAUUUGACCAUAAAUUAUUGAAUAUAUAGAUUUGUCUUCUUUAAUUGACUCCAAACUUCUAAAUAUGCUUUUUUAACCCUUGUUGUAUGCAAUAAUAAU